UCCCGAAACGACAUUUGGUUUCUCUGUGACUCCUUCAAACCUCAUGUAAGUUUUGGUUUUCUGUUUUGAGAACAAUUAAAAAUGGAAAAGUAAUUUUAUUGCCAACAUUUGAUGUACAUUAAACAAACAUGGUUUUAUUUACAGAUCUGGUUCAUUAGUGGUCACAAGCAAGCUGCUGUUCAACUCCUCAUCUCCAGUCCCCAGUGAAGCUCUGGUCCUCAGCGCUAUCAACACUCUCCGUAAUUCCAGAGAACCACAGCUGAAUGAAUCAGUGAAGGUGGUGAAUGUCACUUAUGAGAGUAAGUGUCAUUCUAUAAGGUUGUACAGCUUUUGAAUGGGAAUCAGACAAACAAUUAUGAAUGGAAAGCUUUGACCAAAGAAUGUAUUAAAAUUUUCUUUCCACACAGAAAUCUCAGACACCUCUUAUGCUGUGGUCUUUACAUUUAAUUUGGUUAACAUCAGCAUGCCAGAGGACCCUGAGUGCAGAAACAAUACAUACCUACAAGUGGAGGAUGUCAUCAAUAAUGCGGUAAAAAUUUAAAAAUGAACAGUAUGAAAAUACUAGUCUUCACCAGAUGUUAAUGAAUGGUUUGAUAUUUGUUCUGCAGCUGAACACUCUUCUGAAUGAACCUGGCAAGCAAGUUUUCAAACCAAAGUCCUCCAACUUCACGAGCACUUCAAAUCAGAUUGAUGGCAGGAUGGACUACACCUUCCAGGAUGGAGAUGCCAUACAACCAGUCAGCUUCCUAAAUGAGCUUCAUCUUCCAACUACUACAACAGUGCUUCCAGGAACAACAACCGGUUUCUCUGUGACUCCUUCAAACCUCAUGUAAGAUUUGGUUUUCUGGUUUGAGAACAAUUAAAAAUGGAAAAGUCAAUUUUCCAGUUUAUCAUACUUUUUUGUGUGCAUUUCAUAACAUUGUUACAGUUUCCCUAAUCUCACAGACAAUAAAUCUUGUAUUAGCUGGCAAGCAUCUCAUCACAACAUGCUUUUUGUUUCUCUAACCAACAGCCUGGUGACAAAAUAGUCUGGACAAUAGAUACAUUUUAUUUUUCAAGGCUUCAUAACUUCAUAACUGCAGAAGAUUUAUAAACCUGUAUUUAUAAAUACAGAAUAAAACAGAAAGAAAGAACCAAAAGAGUGUGCUCUUUGACACAGAGCUAUGUGUGCAAUGUGUUGGGUGUUUUUGGUGGGAAGGUCUUCUUCAUAAUUACAGGAUAGAUAG
rnacentral:lncRNA from 1 species